AACGAAUGCUGGCUGCAGGCUUAACACAUGCAAGUCGAGCGCCCCGCAAGGGGAGCGGCAGACGGGUGAGUAACGCGUGGGCAUCUACCCAUCUUUACGGAAUAACGCAUGGAAACGUGUGCUAAUACCGUAUACGCCAUUUGGGAGAAAGAUGUAUCGGAGAUGGAUGAGCCCGUGUUGGUUUAGCGAGUUGGUGGGGGAAAGGCCUACCAAGGCGACGAUCCAUAGCUGGUCUAAGAGGGUGAGCAGCCACACUGGGACUGAGACACGGCCCAGACUCCUACGGGAGGCAGCAGUAGGGAAUAUUGGACAAUGGGCGCAAGCCUGAUCCAGCCAUGCCGCGUGAGUGAUGAAGGCCCUAGGGUUGUAAAGCUCUUUCACCGGUGAAAAUAAUGACGGUAACCGGAGAAGAAGCCCCGGCUAACUUCGUGCCAGCAGCCGCGGUAAGAC
rnacentral:rRNA from 1 species